rnacentral:rRNA from 1 species
CUUAGUAGUGGCGAACGAAAAGGGAACAGCCCAUCGCAUAAUCUCCCGGGUUACCAAGCCUGCGGCGAAAUGUUGCGUUAAAGGAAAGGUCGUUCAUGUCUCGCUCACCCGUUUGAUUGUGCCUAACAGAGUCUUGAAUUAUUCUCGCUCGUUGAGUACUUUACAUGUCUUUCGGGAUUGUAAACGCUCAACACACGGUUCCAUGGAGGGUGCAAGUCCCGUAUGGCCGCGGUUGAGUGGGCGAAGGCUAGGCCUCUUUUCCUCGAGAGUCGCGUUGCUUGAACAUGCAGCGCUAAGCAGGAGGUAAACUCCUCCUAAGGCUAAAUAUGUCCACAGAACCGAUAGCUAACAAGUACCGCGAGGGAAAGUUGAAAAGUACUCUGGAGAGAGGGUGCAAAGACCGUGAAACCAUCCAGGGCAAAAGCCAAUGUCGAGUAUCCUAGUUGCGCUGGGACCGCCCUUCGCCGGGUGUUACCAAUCUCGUUUGUCGGGUCUCAAAGUAGAGGCUUGCAUUCGUAAGUAGAUUGGUUUCAGUGUCCAUUAACAGCCCGCCGCAACUCUUGCGAGGUCUCUCGCGGUUGCCGAGUGUUGGCACAUCUCGUUGUUCACUCAAAGGUUUGAAGUCGUUGGGAGUCGUGUCUUGGCAGAAUCAUCCUAGUACCACACGUGAUAGUAUCUGUGUGCGAAGCGAUGCUGCUGAACGCGUCGGUACAAAAAACUCCUAUGACUUUUUGCUGGAGCUUCGAUAACCAACGCAUACUGGUAGCCAAUGCGUGAAUGAUCCUUCUGUGAGAAGUUGGUUCAGACAAGUCCUUAUUCAUUUAAGGCAACGGCGGAAACUUGCCUAGGUGACAUUGGUCACGUCUCGAAACACGGGCCAAGGAGCAUAGCGUAAAGGCGAGUCUUAGGGUUUCACUAAACCCGGUGGCGAGUGAAAGCGAGUGGCGUACCCUUGUGGUGCGUUGACGUUGCGGUUUGAGGGUUCCGUCCUUGCGGCGAGCUCGAGACGUUUCGUUGCUUUGUCACAGCUGAUCCUUAAGUUCAUUGAACAACAAGGCGCAAGCUGCAAGCUUACUCAUAGUUCAGUGCUCGGUGCUUCGGCAUUGAUGUCUCUGGCAGGGGAAGCAUUGUCUAGACUUUCCGCUAUGACCCGAAAGAUAGUGAACUAUGCUUGACGAAGACGAAGCCCCAGGAAACUGUGGUGGAAGUCUGUAGCCGUUGUGACGUGCAAAUCCAUGGCGUCAGUUGAGUAUAGGGGCGAAAGACCAAUCGAACUAUCUAGUAGCUGGUUCCAUUCGAAGUUUCUCUCAGGAUAGCUUGAGCGACAUGACAACGCUAACGAGUCUGAACAGUGAGGUGCUUAUACCAUCUCUCUCGUUCGCCCGUGUCUGCAGUUGUUGAGAGCACAUUAAUAGCCGUGAGCUCUAGUAAACUCACUCUUAGCAGACGAUGGGUAGCGUAUCACAUACGUUCCUUGGCAGUUACGUCUGGUAAAGAGAAUGAGUAGAGUUGGCUCGUUGUUCUUUUGUAACAACAGCAGCGGGGCGUUCUACGCCUCGCACUAUUAUCAAACUUUAAAUGGGCGAGGAACCAGGCAUUAUCUUAAUUGCUUGAUGCCUGGGCGUAGUCGGUUGAGAGCGACGCGGUUUCGUGCCGAGUUUGUCUCAGAUGAGAAUGCGUGCGCUUUAAGUGGGUCCUUUCUGGUAAGCAGAACUGAUAAUGAGGGAUGAACCUAACGCAUAUGCUAAGGGGUCAAAAAGACAGCUAUUUCUCGAAACCAUUGGAAAGGUGUUGCUUGCUAAAGACAGCAGGACGGUGGUCAUGGAAGUUGACAUCCGCUAAGGAGUGUGUAACAACUCAUCCUGCCGAAGCGAGUAACCCUGAAAAUGGAUGACUCUAUAGCUCUCUCCCGAUGCAUAGCCGUCAAAGCACGAGUGACAUUUCUUGUCUCAAGGCAUUGACGAGUAGAAUGGUGUGCUGGUGCGCGUCGAAGUCAUUUGCGUGAGCAUUGACGGAGCCGCCAGUAGUACAGAUCUUGGUGGUAGUAGCAAGUACUCUGGUGAAUAACCUUGAGCUGUGAGGCUGAUAAGGGUUCCGCGUCAACAGCGUUUGUACGCGGGUAAGCCGAUCCUAAGCUCCCUUUAUCUCAUAAAGGUAAUUGCGAAUGCACGGAACUAUGACUCAAGUUACACUAGAGGAUGUCAGUUUUGUAACUGCUACCUUCUCCUUGAUGUUGGUGAUAACACUCUUAUCUCAUCCAUGCACUCACGCCUCUGUUUGUUGUUGAACGUGGUACGCUUGGGUAAAAUCUUGCGUUCCAUUACUAGCCAUUAAAACUUUGAUGUGUUUGCUUGGCUCUGGGUAGUAGUACCUUUACCAACUUGAUAAGAGAUACCUGCUGUUUUAUUCCUCUAACUAACACACAUGAGUCAUACUCUGUCGUCGCUUGGCGAAAGGGAAAUAUGAACUCAGUUCAUAUGCCUCUCCUGGCACCCUGAGACGGUUCACCGUAUCACGAUCCUAGCAAUAGAUGCCAGGCCAGUCGUUGUCAUAAGUAGCUCGGCAGGGAGAUUUCUUCUCUCUUUGAUAAGACGUCCGACCCUGGAAACACCUCGCGUGGAGGAAGGGUGAUGUCUUGGCCUAGCAGAGUAGUCCUCUCCCUAGACUAGUUCGACGCUACUUGUGACCCGUGAAAAGGUGGUCGAGGGGAUUGAAAUGUACGCACUGCCCCCGGGCAGAGGUACUUUCACACUUAACACGAGUGUUUGCCACGGAGUGUUCGUACCCAUUUCCGCAUCCGUCUCAAA